CCAAUAGCGUAUAUUAAAGUUGUUGCAGUUAAAAAGCUCGUAGUUGAAUUUCGGGAUCAAUAUAUCGGUCGUGCCAUUGGUACGUACUGGUAUCAUUGGUUUCUCCUUUCUGACGAACCAUGAUGUCAUUAAUUUGGUGUUAUGGGAAGUUAGGACUGUUACUUUGAAAAAAUUAGAGUGUUUAAAGCAGGCUUUAGCUUGAAUACAUUAGCAUGGAAUAAUGAAAUAGGACGUUCGAACCUAUUUUGUUGGUUUCUAGGAUCAACGUAAUGAUUAAUAGGGAUAGUUGGGGGCAUUAGUAUUCAAUUGUCAGAGGUGAAAUUCUUGGAUUUAUUGAAGACUAACUACUGCGAAAGCAUUUGCCAAGGAUGUUUUCAUUAAUCAAGAACGAAAGUUAGGGGAUCGAAGACGAUCAGAUACCGUCGUAGUCUUAACCAUAAACUAUGCCGACUAGGGAUCGGAUGAUGUUAAUUUUUUAAUGACUCAUUCGGCGCCUUACA
rnacentral:ncRNA from 2 species